AAAUUGAAGAGUUUGAUCAUGGCUCAGAUUGAACGCUGGCGGCAGGCCUAACACAUGCAAGUCGAACGGUAACAGGAAGCAGCUUGCUGCUUUGCUGACGAGUGGCGGACGGGUGAGUAAUGUCUGGGAAACUGCCUGAUGGAGGGGGAUAACUACUGGAAACGGUAGCUAAUACCGCAUAACGUCGCAAGACCAAAGAGGGGGACCUUCGGGCCUCUUGCCAUCGGAUGUGCCCAGAUGGGAUUAGCUAGUAGGUGGGGUAACGGCUCACCUAGGCGACGAUCCCUAGCUGGUCUGAGAGGAUGACCAGCCACACUGGAACUGAGACACGGUCCAGACUCCUACGGGAGGCAGCAGUGGGGAAUAUUGCACAAUGGGCGCAAGCCUGAUGCAGCCAUGCCGCGUGUAUGAAGAAGGCCUUCGGGUUGUAAAGUACUUUCAGCGGGGAGGAAGGGAGUAAAG
rnacentral:rRNA from 1 species